CCUACGGGAGGCAGCAGUGAGGAAUAUUGGUCAAUGGACGAGAGUCUGAACCAGCCAAGUAGCGUGAAGGAUGACUGCCCUAUGGGUUGUAAACUUCUUUUAUAAAGGAAUAAAACGAGGCACGUGUGCCUUUUUGCAUGUACUUUAUGAAUAAGGAUCGGCUAACUCCGUGCCAGCAGCCGCGGUAAUACGGAGGAUCCGAGCGUUAUCCGGAUUUAUUGGGUUUAAAGGGAGCGUAGAUGGGUUGUUAAGUCAGUUGUGAAAGUUUGUGGCUCAACCGUAAAAUUGCAAUUGAUACUGGCAGUCGUGAGUACAGUUGAGGUAGGCGGAAUUCGUGGUGUAGCGGUGAAAUGCUUAGAUAUCACGAAGAACCCCGAUUGCGAAGGCAGCUUACUAAACUGUGACUGACAUUGAUGCUCGAAAGUGUGGGUAUCAAACAGGAUUAGAUACCCCUGUAGUC
rnacentral:rRNA from 1 species